UACGAAGGGGGCUAGCGUUGCUCGGAUUGACUGGGCGUAAAGGGCGCGUAGGCGGUUCGUACAGUCAGACGUGAAAUUCCUGGGCUCAACCCGGGGGCUGCGUUUGAUACGUGCGGACUUGAGUGCGGAAGAGGGUCGUGGAAUUCCCAGUGUAGAGGUGAAAUUCGUAGAUAUUGGGAAGAACACCGGUGGCGAAGGCGGCGACCUGGUCCGAUACUGGACGCUGAGGCGCGAAAGCGUGGGGAGCAAAC
rnacentral:rRNA from 1 species